AUGCUUCGGGUCCUCACCUCCUUCCUGGGAAUACAAUUUUUCCUGGCUGUCCAAACACAGUCAGUUACCCAGUCUGAUGCCCAAGUCACUGUCUUCGAAGGAGAUUCGGUGGAGCUGAAAUGCAACUACUCCUAUGGUGGAGCCCUUUACCUCUUCUGGUACAUCCAGCACCGUGGCCGCGGCCCCCAGCUUCUCCUCAGGUACUACUCAGGAGACCCAGUGGUUCACGGCGUGAACGGCUUUGAGGCUGAGUUUAGCAAGAAGGACUCUUCCUUCAACCUGAGGAAAGCCCCUGUGUACUGGAGCGACUCGGCUGUGUACUUCUGUGCUCUCAGCGCACAGUGUCUGGGGCUGCAGGGGGAGCUGAACACAAACCUAAGAAUCUGGGGAAGAUACCACAGCUGA